UAAAUUGAAGAGUUUGAUCAUGGCUCAGAUUGAACGCUGGCGGCAGGCCUAACACAUGCAAGUCGAGCGGUAGCACAGAAGAGCUUGCUCUUUGGGUGACGAGCGGCGGACGGGUGAGUAAUGUCUGGGAAACUGCCUGAUGGAGGGGGAUAACUACUGGAAACGGUAGCUAAUACCGCAUAACCUCGCAAGAGCAAAGAGGGGGGACCUUCGGGCCUCUCGCCAUCAGAUGUGCCCAGAUGGGAUUAGCUAGUAGGUGAGGUAAUGGCUCACCUAGGCGACGAUCCCUAGCUGGUCUGAGAGGAUGACCAGCCACACUGGAACUGAGACACGGUCCAGACUCCUACGGGAGGCAGCAGUGGGGAAUAUUGCACAAUGGGCGCAAGCCUGAUGCAGCCAUGCCGCGUGUGUGAAGAAGGCCUUCGGGUUGUAAAGCACUUUCAGCGGGGAGGAAGGCAGUAAGGUUAAUAACCUUGCUGAUUGACGUUACCCGCAGAAGAAGCACCGGCUAACUCCGUGCCAGCAGCCGCGGUAAUACGGAGGGUGCAAGCGUUAAUCGGAAUGACUGGGCGUAAAGCGCACGCAGGCGGUCUGUUAAGUUGGAUGUGAAAUCCCCCGGGCUUAACCUGGGAACUGCAUUCAAAACUGACAGGCUAGAGUCUUGUAGAGGGGGGUAGAAUUCCAGGUGUAGCGGUGAAAUGCGUAGAGAUCUGGAGGAAUACCGGUGGCGAAGGCGGCCCCCUGGACAAAGACUGACGCUCAGGUGCGAAAGCGUGGGGAGCAAACGGGAUUAGAUACCCUGGUAGUCCACGCUGUAAACGAUGUCGAUUUGGAGGUUGUGCCCUUGAGGCGUGGCUUCCGGAGCUAACGCGUUAAAUCGACCGCCUGGGGAGUACGGCCGCAAGGUUAAAACUCAAAUGAAUUGACGGGGGCCCGCACAAGCGGUGGAGCAUGUGGUUUAAUUCGAUGCAACGCGAAGAACCUUACCUACUCUUGACAUCCAGAGAACUUAGCAGAGAUGCUUUGGUGCCUUCGGGAACUCUGAGACAGGUGCUGCAUGGCUGUCGUCAGCUCGUGUUGUGAAAUGUUGGGUUAAGUCCCGCAACGAGCGCAACCCUUAUCCUUUGUUGCCAGCGAUUCGGUCGGGAACUCAAAGGAGACUGCCGGUGAUAAACCGGAGGAAGGUGGGGAUGACGUCAAGUCAUCAUGGCCCUUACGAGUAGGGCUACACACGUGCUACAAUGGCGUAUACAAAGAGAAGCGACCUCGCGAGAGCAAGCGGACCUCAUAAAGUACGUCGUAGUCCGGAUUGGAGUCUGCAACUCGACUCCAUGAAGUCGGAAUCGCUAGUAAUCGUAGAUCAGAAUGCUACGGUGAAUACGUUCCCGGGCCUUGUACACACCGCCCGUCACACCAUGGGAGUGGGUUGCAAAAGAAGUAGGUAGCUUAACCUUCGGGAGGGCGCUUACCACUUUGUGAUUCAUGACUGGGGUGAAGUCGUAACAAGGUAACCGUAGGGGAACCUGCGGUUGGAUCACCUCCUU
rnacentral:rRNA from 1 species